rnacentral:lncRNA from 1 species
GAGACCUGCCUGCUUCCUCAAGGCUCAGGUGGGCUAUAGAGACACAGAGGCCUGCCUAGACACCUAGCACUUGCUUGCAGCCUGCCAGCAGAGGAGGAUACCCAGAGGCCCACCAGCUGUGAGGCCUGCCUACAGCAGGAGCCACUACUCUGUCCCUCCUUUCAGGUGAUCCCUUCUUGACCUAGAGCCACUAGACAGCCACAGGUGGCACCUGAGCAGGGACCUGAAAACAGAGGACUUGCUGAGAAACACUUCUUUGGUUGGAGCCUCCACAGAACAAAGUGAAAGCAAAAAGAAAGUAACCAAACAAAAAGAAAAUGCUGCACAGUGGCUGUAGGAGCGAUUGGUCUGUCGGUUGGAAAAGGUCCUUGUGGAAGAUCUUGAUCCUGGUGCAGCUUCUCAUGAUGAAUGUUGAAGAAUUAUGGGCCCUUGAUCCCUCUCAUCCAAUUUUAUCACCUGUUGCCCAGGAUGCUUUUGUUUUCCCCACCAUGUAUUCUGGAAACCUGUCCUUGGGCUUACCAGCCUUAGCCCACUUUGAUCAUUCUAUCAAUAUCUCGGGAUGGUGGAAUCUUACUGAAGUCCUUUGUUUUUCUUUUCAUGAAAAUUCCUCUUGUGUAAGACUUAUAUCUUAUGAUAGGUCUGGUGAUUUUGUUCAGGGGUUUGCUCUUCCUCCACCCUAUUUACAGGGUACCCAACCAUCUCAGCCAUCCACAGCCUUUGGCACUUGUGGGGGAUUGUUGAAUUUUACCAUACCUAUGAAUACUUCUAGAGAGGUACCUUCCUCUAUGGCCCAUCGGUACGAGGAUUGCCCAUGGAUGUGGGCUUCUGAGAAAGAAUUUUUGUUCCCAUUACAGCUGCCCCUCCCUUGGGGAUGGUGCCAGUCCUCAGAAGAGGAAACUUCAUUUAGUGUCUCCUCCAGUCUGACCCUUAAGGCCAGAGACUUUAAGAAUUGGGGAUCGACAGGUACCUCCCUGUUUGCUGAUUGGUUCCUUUGUAAUAAGUAUACUUGUUUGGAUUUUCGCCCAUUUUUGUUUUUAAGAGAUUCCUUUCUUUUUAAUAGCUCCUGUGAAUGGAUUGGUUUUAACUAUAAUGGCUUCUCAGAGAAGGUUGUUCCCCUUUCUCCUGCACCUGUUUGUGUUACUUUUCCUUUUGUAUUUUUAGUUACCAAUUCAUCCCUUGCUGCAGAGGAAGUUAAUUGUAGUAGUGAACCGUGUUUAUUGUCUCCUUGCUGGCACGGAAGUUCGUCGUCAGCAGUUUUGCUCCGUGUCCCAUUUCAGCAUAGGUACAUGAAGGACAUUUUUUCCGAAUAAAACUUGUGGUUCAAUCUCGGGAGACUAGGGAUUUUGGUGUUACAGCCACUAUUGUUUCUACAGUGCUGGAGGAGCAGCUGUCACCAUUGCUAUUAUGCAGAAUGUUGUAACUGGGAAGGCCUUGAAUGAUACAGUUAGUGCUUCAUCACAGGGGUUUGUGACCCAGCAGCUAUUGAAUGGUUAUUUACACAGGGCAGUUUUGCCAUUACAGCAACAGAUCAAUCUUUUAGCAGAGGUGGCUGAGACACUUACCAUGUUGACCAACUUUGAUUGUGACCCUAGGUAUCAUUCUCUCUGUUUGACCCCAUUUUCAGUUAAAAACAGUUCUUUCAAACGAAAAUGAUUGACUUCCUUUAUCAAAGAAUGGUGGAACAAUGAGUUUUUUUUUUUUAAAUUUAUCCCUUAUUGCUAAUUUGUUUACUGUGUAUAUUAAGGUUUUUAGAUCUGGAUUUGUCCUUUUUAGGUAAAAUUUGGAAUAAUGUUAAGAAACUCUUUGAUCCAUCCUGGAUUGUUACCUAUGCACUCAUGGGAAGUGUAGUUUUGGGUUUCCUCCUCUUGCUCUGAUGCCUAUUCAGCACAGGCAACAUGUCUUUCAUCAGAAGGACAUCAAUGUCAUGUUGGCCUUCCAGGAUCAACACUUGACUUCCAAGUAUAGGUGAAUGUGUGGCUUGCUCAUUUGAAGCAUGAGACUCAAUAAUGAGUGGAGGGGUUCAGCAACUGAUGGCUAGUUAGUUAAUGAUGGGUAAGAGUCCACAAGAAUGAACCAAUCUAAGACAGGCACAUUGGCUUUUGUGCUGCCCUCUCCAUAUAUAGGAUAAGGUGAAAAGGUAUAGCCUGUGUCACCUUCCACUUUUUUGUAAAGCCUGCUUUUUAAAACUAAAAAGGGGUAACUGUGGAGCUUUUGCCCUGCCUGCAUUGCAGAAAUUGCCACAUCAGAUGCUCUGGCUUCAAUGCACUUAGUGAAAAUCCCUCAUCAGAAUUGAGAGUUCUGCUUUUGCCUGUUUUAAGUUUUAUCUUCUCUAAAAAAGGGACUAUGUUUGAAAACUGGGAACCUAUGCUAUCAGCUGCCAACAUGAGACAGUCUGGUCAGCAAUAUUGACUUGGAGUGGGUUUUGUGGUUUUUUUCCUUUAUAUUCUGUGUGUGCUAUAAUAAAGUUGAGCCUUGAUCAGAA